UGGCCUCCCAACCUCUGUGUCUGUUACAGGGCAGGCACUGAGUUUGGCCUGAUGAACCGAGUAAACACGUAAAGAGUGGUUCCGGCUGAGCCCAAGGCCUGGAGCACCAGGUGGGGACUUCGUCCCUGAGUCUCCAGCUCCUGAGUGACUUAAGUGGGACCGGCCUGCCGUCUGCUUCAGUUGUUGACAUGCAUCCUGCCCGACCGUGGACGGUGUAUGACGCCUGUGUGGUCACCACUCUAGAGGGAAAGUGAUGAGAUCACAGGGACGUGUUAUCAGAACCUGGGCUCACCUGAGACCAGGAGUGGCCUGAGGCCUGGUCCCACCAGCCGCUUUUAACCGAGUUCCAGCGAAUGGGUGCUUCUGUUCCAAGGUUAAUCCUUACGCUUACACUUCAAGGUACACGGUCUAGAAAUGCCAGCGUUUUUUCUAGUUUUUAUGCAAUAAAACUAGAAGAAAGGCCAGUAACUGGAACUGAAUCUAAUGAGUUUGAAGCCACUCGGGGAGGGAGAGUCAGAGGACCUGUGUGUCAGGGUUGUGGGGCAUGUUCAUCGGAGGAUGUCCGUCGGGGUGAGGGCAUCCAACCUGAAUCAUGUUGCAGCAAAAUGAGCAGGAAUUCGGGGAGCAGAGCACAGACUGACCCCCUGCCCUAGCAGCUGAGGGAGGCAGAGACUGGUCGGGAGUCAGGCUCUCGGGCUGCAGAACUAGCAACGCCCUGUCACCUCAGAUGCCGAGACUUGAGUUUGUGCAACAGGGAAAGGCCAGGUAAUUUCUGACCUAAGCUAAAAGAGAAAAUAAGACCUGGAAUUUUUCCAAGAUUCAACCUCAAAAAAAAAAUAACAAGGUUGAAGUUUGGUGGUUUGUGUCACAAUAUAAAGGCUAGAAAUUCAGAUUUACAUGUAAAUUGAUGGAAUUAACAAUCCAAACUGCAAUUUCAGGGGAAAGCAAUGUUUUUGCAUGAGAACAUGUGGCAGGUUAGCUUGUUUUUUGCUCUUUUUUGCACGUAUUGUUUGCUUGUUUUUUAAUUGUUUCAGAGUCUUUGUUGAAAACAUCACCAUGUUUAAGGAAGUAUCUUUAUUUCCCAGGUGGCUGGCACGUGCCCUGUCCUUAAGGACGGUCUGUCAUUUCUGGAGGAUUCUUGGCCUGGCCAUGCCACCAGCGUUGACCUCACUGCAGCCUCUCCUUGGGGACUGUUCAGAGGGCCCAGGGUAGCUCUGUUCUUGGGGGGAGGGCAUGAUAGAAACCCAGAUGUGUCUGCUGUGAGCCAGAGGUGAUGGGGUGAGGAGCGAAUUCUCAUUAAGCAUGUAUUAUGCAGCAAGGCCUGAGUGCGGGACCCUCCCCGGACCCUGGAUAAGGCGGUCCAACCCACCCGGGGUGCUGGCUGUGUGGCCCUCAGCCCCGGACCCCAGGGGAUUGAGGGGGACCCGCAGAGCUCAGAGUGGGGACCACUCUGCCACGUCACCAGAGCUGCCCACGCUGGGGCCUGUUUACCCAUCACCAGGGACGCUGGGGCUCUUGGGCAUCAGCGCUCCGCCGUUUGUGUCUUCACAACCAGAAUCCCCCCAAGGGACACACACAUGCACCUUGUCCCAAGGACGGUCCCCCAGGAGGCAGCUCCCCCAAGCAGGGUGCACCCACCUGGAGAGCCCCUUGCCAGCAGAGGGAAAGUUCCCUCCCUGGACCAUGCGGCUGCACUGAGAUCACGGUCGGCAUCAAACCCUUGGGGUUUGCCACCCCCCGCCCCCUGGAGUCCCUCACUCUCACAGGCGCCUGAUGCCCUGGGUCCUACAGCCUUGGCCACCUUGAGUCUCCACACCUGAACUGCAGGCAGGUCUCAAAGCCCUGGCCAGAACGUCCGGGGGUCGGACGCGGGCGGCGCAGUCGUGGGAGGUGGGGAGGCCAUGGUCUGUGGUGUGUGGUUGCACUCAAACGCACAGACGCCCCAUGGAGGACACGUCUCCGCCCCACUGCUUCUCUCCUUGCGUUCCUGAGUGUGAAAUGAUUUCCUCUGAGCUCAACCAAGUGAAUGUAGAAAAGCAAGUCAGCUUUUGGAGCCAGGAGCUGGGAAUCAGCGUCCCUGCCUGCGGCUGGUUGGCACAGGCUGCUGCCCCCCGGUGAAGCCCAGGUCCUCAGGACCACGAGUCAGGAGGGGGAAGAGGCAGAGGCGGGCUGAGGGCUCCCUCCCAGUGGGAUGCUGCCCCACGUCCGUAAGAAGGCGGACACGGGCAGAGGAGGUGGUGAGGGGUCUCGGUGGGAGAAGCAUCAUCAGGGAGGAGGCCACGUGAGGGUCCCUGCACUGGGAGGCUGGGCGGGGGCCCUGGGGGCAUCAGCUCCGGAGGAGCCCAAAAGAGCAACUGCUAGAGCGCUGUCCACCCCGGUGGAGGGUGUGUCAGGCUGGACUGGGUGGACUGAGGCCUGGGAUGGCCCCACGGGGAAAAGGGGGCUCCCACCUCUUUCCUGCCGUCAGAUUGCCACCGUCUUUGCGACCAGCUGUCACGUGGCGCCCUGCCUCCUGGGACGGCCCCCGGGGUCCCUGCCAGCACCUCCUCGGCCACGCAGGGUCCUGGAGGGCGUCACAGAGGCCAGACCCCCCUAAGGCUCUUCCCCUGCGGGCCCCAAUCUGCACCUCCAGUGCGUUUCUUUGUUCACUGUGUUCUGUAUCGUUUUGUGUGAGACCCUUUCAUAGACUGCAAAGCUUUUCUUUCCAUGUGUAGGAAAAAUCUCACCGUCAAAGGCUCGUGAGGAGAAGCUCGGGACAUUGGGGCUGCAGGGGUCUGGGGCCCCGGCGUUUCCUCCUUCUGUUCUCAUCCGGCUUGGAUCCAAGUCCCUGGGGAUUCCCGCAGGCCUAGCAUGCGGUGGGCCUCAAAAUGCUUUUUGGAACUGAGAAAAGUGUUUCUUUAGUUUAACCCUAGUUUCUGUGGGUGCUGACUGGCGGGUUUGCUGUUGGGAGCAGUUUGAAGGGAGUGGAACCGGCUCACAGGGUCCCUCUGUACCAGAUGGAGAGGGUGGUGGGGCCUCUGAGACACCAAACCUCCCAGUCAGCGAGCAAAGCGUAACGGGCGGUAAUUCUGGGCUCUGCAGACUCUUCGUCUCGUUCCCAGGGAGGGCGGUGGGGGGCGUUCCACCACAGACUCUCGAAGGGAAAACAGGCCGAGAGUUCAGUUUGUCAAGUCCCUUUAAAACCGCUGCCUGUUAAGCAGCCUGAACACACUGUCACGUGGCAUUAAUUCAGAGCAUUGCGGCUCGUAAUUGACCCGGACUUUACUGCAAAGGCCGACAACGCCCACCCCUGUGUUGCAAGUAUUUUAGAAUCCAUUCCAGAAACUCACUCCCCAGAUUCUGGGCAGGGCUGCUGCUGAUUCCAUCGCAUCCACUCGAGUAAACAAGAGGCUGAACACUUGGUGAGUUUCCCACGAUCUGGUGUCACACACACCCUGCAAUGGAGGCUUGUAGCAGGAAAAUCUGGUGAUAAGCAGUGUUGGGAAGCUGACUUCCCGGCGGUCUCUGCAGGCAGGUCCCAGAGGACGCAGACUUCCUGGGAGCUCGCCGUCCGGAGCUCCACCAGCCCCGAGCAGAGGUGCAUGCGCCUGCUGCCCCGCGUGUGGGCUCGAGCAGACGACGCCGGCAGCAGUGCUCGGCCGUCAGGGCGGGGGUCCCGGCCCCAGGAUGGACAUUGCUUCCCUGGACAGUCUAGCGGCCGUGCUCAUAGGUGGAGGAGGCCCCCUUCCCUCCUGUCCACACAGGGUGGGGACAGUGGACACAGCCCAGCCCAGUGGCUGCAGGGACCAACAUGAAGACCGUUAGUGUCAGCCCUGCCCUUGUUCCGACCUUGACGCUGAGCAGUGUGUCUGCCCGCCUUCCAGUCCCCCUGCUGCCCACACUGUCCUGAAGCCAGGCCAUCGCUCCCAGGUGACUUUGCCUGGAAUCUGAGAAGGUCCUACAGCUCCCAUGCCGUGCACAGAUCUGCAUUUUAACCGCCCUCCCCUCUGCCCAAGCCCUCGUGUCAGCCUGGGAAAGGGCAUGGGGGCCACGCUGUGCCUCGGGGGUCCUCCAGGGUCCUCAUGGCCUUACAGUGUUUCCACCUCCUUCCACUCACUCCCCCCACCCCUGCCACCUCUCCCACGUCAUCACAGCUGUUUCUCCUUCAAACUGGCUUUUGGACCAGCUGUCAAGGGCUCUGUGCUUCUGAGUUUCAGAGAACAUUCUGUCCUUUGGUGAGAGUGAAAUUUCAUUCAUUGUCAGCCCAGUUAUGCCCUCACCCCGCACCCCCCAAAGCUGGCAUCCUUCAGGGACGGUCCUGGUGCUCAGGCCCCGAGAGCUUCCCUCCUGCUGAGUGUGGGCUGGGCUUAGGGGCUUCCAACAACUGGCACAGAGCGACAGGGCCACCUCACCAUUGGGCUGUGACUGUUUCUGCCCGUUUCCGGCUCCGGUGGAGCAAGCCGCCAGGCUGGAGAGGCCAGAGCUGCAGGAGGCCUUCGUUGAGGAACUGAGUCCCGCCAACAACGUCUGGGAUGACCGCCGCCUGCAGUCCGGCCGAUGGGGGCUGUAGCUGGGGACCCACGGGCCGGCCCUCGACCCUGCUGUGAGUCUGGACGUGCACUGGGCAGACGCAGGCAAUCAGGGCCCCUAAAGAGACGGCCCUGCAGACCCCACGACAGUGGCCGCAUGGAGGUCUCGCAGGGCGGGCAUGGUGGGAAGAGACAGAUGUGCUCUGAUUUGACAACCUGGUUCCGUGUCUCAGCUCUGCUUUUUUGAGUUUUGGUAAAACACUCAACCUCUCUGAGCCUCAGUUUCAGUGGGAAGAAGGGAUGUUUUGACAAAAAUUAGGGGAAAUCAUGGAAAACAUGACACUUUACCUGGGGUCUGGCAUGUGGUCGUUACUGAACAAAUGGUAGGACACGGCGUUUGGUUUCACCCAUCCCUUUAAGUGCUUGCGUAUCGUCUAAGCAGAUAACUUCCCUGAGGGCACGAACCAGGUCAUACAAGACAAAUCAGAUAAUAGAACACGGCAGUAGUUAUUCCAGGACCCGGGGCUGUGUCGUUGCUUCUGUGUCCUCCCCACAGCGCCUGCAGUCCUGGCUGUGAAUAUUUACUGAAGAACUAACUCGACUCUUCCAAUUUGUUUUCGGGAAAGUCCUAUGGAAGCAUGAAGUCCGCAGGGGAGAAAAAAAUGUGCCUGGCGCGCAGCCCACGUUUCGGGAACACAGGAUGACGGCGGCAUUGAUUGCCGACACGAUCGUGUGGUUUCUGAGAGCUCAGGAUUGCACCUAAGGGUAUGUGUUGCUCCAACUGUCUGCAGGUGUGUCAUUCUUAAUUCAUUAACGAUGCAUUUCAGAGUCAUCUUGAAAAUAUUACCUCACUGAUACGAGCCAAGUGUUGUCGGGAAGUGUGCCCUGCACGGUCCUGACCCGCCUGGUCAGUGAAACCCAGUGUCCCCUGUGGUCUCCGCAGCUUCCCGGAGACGCGGGCAGACUGGCACUUGGAGUAAGCACAGCCGUCAGCUCACCUGGGACCUCCGACGUCCGAAGUACCUUGGCCCCCGCUCAGCUCAAAGGCCCUCUUUUCUUUUUUUUUCUCUUUUUGCCAAAUCUGUAUUAGAAAAGAAUGACCGCAGUUACAGUUUUAAACCUUCAUGUAUAGGUACAUGGGCAUUUUGUUCUGUUUGGCUAUAUUUUUCAUAUAGAGAAAAAUAUUCCUAAUACUUAAACCUGAAUUACGUUUUGGUGUUACUGAAGGAUGAAACGGCAGGCCGACAAGGGAAUUUCACUUUUUCAAACUUAACUCUUUCCUGGGACUAACGUGAGCAGCGGGAGGUCACUCAGGAAGCAGUGGCUUCUUUGCAAAAGGAUAAAGCAGUUAUUCUAAGAAACCAGAAUGCCAUAUCUGCGAAACAUCUUGCACAAAACUGUCUCCUGCACUUUCAGGCUAUAACUCAGGUCUGCUCUACGAGUAGAAGUGUCUCAGGGUUUUAGAAAUUGUGAAUAAGAUGCAAACACUGUUGGGAUCUGAAGCACUGGGAAUUGUGAGUAGCCAUUCCCGCGCAGCGUGGGUUUGCUUCGCAGGAAUGCUGCCAGCUUUACGGCCCAGGAAGCCUCCUUGGCUCCCUGAGCAGGUCUUCCUGAAAGUCAGGCUCUUCAGCCCCCUCCCCUGUGUUGCUCUGAGUGUCUGGGAGGGUGGCCCACACCCUCAGCCCCACAGGUCAGGCUGUGCUGUUGCUCUGCCAACAACAUGCCCCGAGUGUCACUGCCUUCACACGAGGAGCCUGUUUCCCAGGGCGGGAGGCUGUCCCAGGCUCCACAUCUGAACAGGAGGGAUGCGCACAUCUGGCAAGUUUCAGGGACGGGCCUGGUGUGGACGCUGCUGUACGUACAUGUGUGUCCUCCCGUCGAAGACUCGGGAAACACAACCGUGCGUACGGACGCUUGUAAGCAGAGCCAGGUGUUUCUUCUUGGCAAAUCGUAUGUAUAAAAUAUACAUGUGUUAGUGUACCUUAUAAAAAAUACACAAACUCAUACACAGAUAAUGGCCAAAACGUUCCAGUAAUAAUUAUCUUUAAAACUGCAAGGACCUGGUGUAAUACUGUGAUAUUGUGAUUUAUAAUGAGAAAUAUGCAUUUGGUCUGAGUCCCAGCCGACCUCCGACCCCCCAGGAGGGGAGCAGGGCGGGAGGCUGAGUUCAGUCACCACCCACGUUGGAUGUGAAGGCCCCACAGGGACAGGAGCCCUGACCUGUUGGUCAGAAGCACAGGUGAUGUCCUGGCCACCCAGGUGACAACCGAAGCGGGGGUGGAGGGGCUCUUAUAGGACACAGCCCUUAACCCAGGUGGGGUCUGGCGCCAUCUCCACGCGGACAGUGUCAGAACUGAGUUGAGUGGGAACACACACAGCCGGCGUCGAGAAUCACUUGGUGGUGAGGAAAAUCCGCAGCCCCUGGGAUUUGGUGUCAGAACUGGAAGAGUAGGUUAAAUCUGUACCAUUUCCUUCAGCUCUUUGUACAUUCGCUCUGUAUUGCCGUUUUGUGGCUUCUGGGGGCAGAACACGCGAAAACGCUGGCCCAGAAGGAGACCAGCGCAGGUGGUGUCACCGUCCUCAGUGAGCUGGGCACGAGGCUACCAUCCAGAGCAGAGCGGGAAAGAGGACAGCUUGUGUUUCUGGGGAAACAGAAGAGGGCCAGUGCGUGAGCAGGUUAAUGAAAAGAGGUCUGGGGGCGUGAGAGGGCAGUCCAUUGAGCUGUUCUGCCAGUUCCAUCGCAGCAGCUGCUGUGACUCCUAUCAGCACAUUUUGGUAACACCUAGAAUAGCGUGACUGUCAGUCAUCUUUGAUUAUCGACAACAAGGGAGUCCAGACUUUGUGACCCAAGCGCUCUCGGAAUGAAACCCAGCCAAUCCACGGAAUCCAAACACAGCGCUCACUGCUGGGUGUCGAUACUCGUCGGCUCCUGUUUCUCCAGAGCCAGGUGAGGAAAGACAUGUUUGAACUCACUUUCAUAUGCGCCACACACACAAGUAAACUGCCGUCUGGCCCCGUAAGGGAAGGCGGUGGGGGGGCUGUGACUUGCCCCCAGGGGCACAGCCGCCGGCUUGCCGGGCAGGGUGUCGGCCCAGAGGCGGCCAGCGCGUUCCCACAGGCCGGCUCUGCCCCGCGGUUCCUGGUCCGUAAACCCUCCACCCGCCUUGUUUGGUGCUUUGUGCAGAAGCUGUGCCCCGCCUGCACCCACACGGCCGCGGUUGGCUGGCCCAGGGCCUUGCUGUGUGACUUCACAGCCCCGUGUGCACACAGCGUGCUCACUGGCUCCGUCCUCAGUUGCAGAGAGCCGCUCUUGCCCGGGGUCAGCAGGUUUCAGCGUCCGGCUGCAGUGCUUCCCACGAGCCCCACAUGUGCUCCGGGGCUGUCGGAUGCCCCUCACCCUCGAGUCACAGCCUACAUCCUUCCUCUCCAGGAGGGGUCUGCAAGGCGCCCCCAAAUCAGGGUCUGCCUCUGCUCACUUGGGUCCAGGGAGUCAGAAGCCGAGUCUGGAGGAAGACGUGUUUCAAAGCCUGGUUCCAUUUUUGUGAUAAUCUCUAACUUUGGCAGUUUGAAAGGCCUAUCUUGUAGUGAUACUUAAUAAUUGAUAGAAUUAAAGAAAUUUCGUCUUUUAGGCAAAGAGUUCUCAAAUUAAUUAAUUUGGGUGAUUUCCCCACUUUUAAAGGGUGGGCACAUCACCCAGAUUUGAGAAAUGCUGACUUCCAGACUCAGCCUGUGUCCUGGACAGGCCGCGUCUCGGCUCCUCUGACCAGGCCCUGAGUGGUCAGUUCUGCCCCAGCCCCGCCGGCCCCCAGCUCAGCUCAGCUCUCUCCCCGUCUGAAAACUCUUCCCCAGUGACAGCUAUGGACGCGAAGCGAUGACCGUGGAGACGCUGGGAGCCCCCGCCUGCCGCCCUGUGCGUCCUGACGAUACUGCCUGACAGACUGUGUUCCGAGAAAGUGACUCCUCCUUUCCAGGCGACCUCCCUGGCUCAGGGAGGUCCGGGCAAACUCUGAAAGGACUGGGAAACCAGACCCAGGACAGCACCUGCUGUUGCUGUGGGUGGGCUGGGGAGGGCUGCACUUCCGGAACCUUCUCCCCGGCAUGCUCACAGACGUUCCCACGUUUGGUCUCAGAGUCCAGCAGGCUGCCUGGAUGCUCGGCUGUGGAAUGGACGGGGGACUGCAGGUGAGAAGGCGGCUGCACGACUCGCCCCUGGAGCUCAGAUGGACGACAGGAGAAACUCUCUGGGGACUCCCCAUGUUGCCAUGGGUGGGUUGGGGGCCUGUUUCACCCUGAGACCCCCUGGUGCUCAGAUGUUGCUGAGGCCCAUGGAGGGGCUCUCCUGAGGGAGGCGUUUCCUGCAGGACCUGACAGGGCUGUCAGGAACCCCCCCCCCCAGCCACGCAGCCCGCCCCCUCGGAAGGGAGGCCCGGAACAGUGCUCUGCAGCCGUCUCUCCUUCCUUCCUUUGCUGUCUUACCUGGAACCACACCACCUGUCUGUGCCCUGUGUCCCUUCCAGGUGAGUGUCGGGAAUGACCAGGCUGGGGCGAGACUCUAAAGUAGACGUCCGGCACCUGCCCCUGUGUUUCUCCUUUCAGUGAGUAACAGGCCUCAGACACGGUGCUUCCCUCCGGGGGGAGGAGAGCUGGGCUGGCAGCUGUUCUGAGCGGAGGCGGCAGGGGGCACCAGCACCUUUCUGAACACCACGCUGGUCCCACCGCCUCCAGACACGUGGACCUCGGUUUCCUGCGCCCCAGCCUGAGGCCUUCCGUGACUUAUUUGGUGUUUUCUCUGUAGAACUCUCCCACCCCAUCUUCCACGCCCUCCCGUCACCUGCAGCUCUGUCACCGGUUCCCAGUCUGGUCCCCGCCACACACCCGUCUGUCCAUCCAUUUAUCCCCUCCUCUGUCAGCUGUUGUUGGUCCCCCGGGUCAGACCCACAGGGCUCCUCCCUCUGUGCGCUGGUACCAACGCCCCAAACACCUGCUUGGCCGUCCCACCUUCAAGUCUUGGUCGUGGAGUUUCCUGCAGAUGAAGGACCCGCCUCUCCUUCCUGCACCUGAGUUGAACUUGGCUGACUCCCAUCCACUGGCUGCCCGCCCCACCCCGACCCCGGUGUGGGCCCCCCACCUGGUGAGGAACUCCCGUGGGGUUCAAGUGCAGAGUCUGAGGUGGAGGUGCUUGAUCUAGCCAAACCUGGUGCUCCCUCCCAUCCACAGGGCAGCCAGCCCCUCCCAGGGCUGCACCUGCAGACACCUCAGAAUCGGGGAGAAUCCCAGAGCCGGGUGUUUCCUGAAAGACCCCCUCUGGGAGCCCGACAGCCCGGAUUCCCGCCCAGCCAGGCCUGUGUCACAGCAGAGUCGGGGGCGUCCGCCCGUCCCCUGCACCCACUUCCCAGAGCACCUGCACUGGUGCCGCUCGCCGUGGGCACGGCCGUGACCCUCUCCUCCAGCUCCCCCACCAGGGACCACAGGACACUGGGACCCUGGGGCGCCAUGCUCACCUCACAUCCUGAAUAAACAAGUCAGCCUUUCCUAGAACAACACGAGCAGACAUUCCUGUUUCUCACAUUCUUCAUUCUGACAAGACAGUUAAUCCAUUGAUCGGUGAGACCCUCCCUUUAACCCCAACUCUAACUCUAGUUGUGAAAACACCCCAUGAAGCUGAGAGUUUGGAAGACCAGUCACGGCUGCUGGGGAAAGUACAGAUUCCUUGGUUUUCCUGCUAAACACACGUGUACAGAUUGCGUGAUGCUCACCGUACUGCGCAAACACGCUUACAGGCAUGAAGGCCAAAUCAGUGGUUCAUGUGAGGCUGUAUCUCUUUAAACCUCUUUAAAUGGAGGGACUGGGGAUUGAACCCAGGACCUCGUGCAUGCUAAGGACACGCUCUACCUCUGAGCUAUGUCCUCCCCAAGUGCCUUAGUUUUAUGAAGCAAAAUGUAUUCAACUACAGCUAAAAUUAUCACUUUAAAUAGUAACCUAAAGAUACCAUUUAAGAAUAGGAUUAUGAAGCUCUUUUUAUUCACAAAAUAAGGAAAGCCAAUUUCAUAGUAUGAGAGAUUUUAGUCAUUGUGAAGUAACAUGCAAAUAUCAAGUCUGACUUUUAAAAAUCCAGUUCAGCAGCAGUAACACAUUUCAUGUGUCAAUGACAGAUAUUUAAGGGAGCAGAUUUACAGAGUUAGUAAGACAGACAUAACUGACGUAAAGCGUAAUGUUUCAUGAAAUUCUCACCCAAAUAGGUGCCCUCAGCCCUUUGCAGCUCUCAUCUAAACACUGAGUGUGUGGUGUGCGUUUUGUUCUUGUGGCGAAUGUUCGGGACAGACCAGUCGCCAUCCCACCUCAUUCAGGACACCAGCUGGGCCCCUCGGGAGGGGCAGUGGAAGGAGCAGGGCGUGGCUGGCUCGGCCGCCCAGCGUAGGCGGCUGCCAGGAAGGGAAGCUGGCAGAACACCUCAGCUAAGAUUCGCCUUGGAACUCUGGCAUUUGCAGCAGAAAAUGAAGAAAUGUGGAAAUACGUGUAAAUACAAGUACACGUGUAGACGCGCCCUCCUGUGUCCAGUCAAAUGGCCCCCUCCCCCAGUCCUGGGGGCCGGCCUCACAUCCGCCCUCGGCCUCCUAACCUCUGAUGCCCAUGGCAGGUCCGCAGCCCCAGACAGGACGCCACCCCGGCUCAGCUUGAGGUCCUGAGUGACUGCACCUGCGGUUAGUUCUGGGGGCGCCCUUCCAUGCCUGGGGACAUGACCAGCAGAGCCCCUUUGAAGGUGACGUGGGCAAACUGGCUGACCACAGAGCAGGGUCCCACAGCCCAGAGGGGCCCACAGCCCGGCCCCGGCCCCUCACACCCAGACGGCUCAGCGAUGCCCUUUGCCUGGUUCCCAUCUUUCUACUGACGCAUUGGUGCGACUCGUAUAACGCCUUCGAGACUGCUAGUCGUUUUGCUGGCCACCAGGCAGCUGCUUCUCCACGGCCUCCCGAGCCAGGGCACAGGUGAUCGUGCUGGUGGAGGUGUGGGUGAGUCCAAGUGCUCUGGGAUCUCCAGCACUGUGGCCCUGAGCGGGAGAGUGGGCUUCCCGAGAAGGCAGCUAGCCCACCAGUGUGCCGGGCCGGCUCUGGGGAGACCGAGUGGUGGGGGCUGGCUUCCCCGGGUGCUCCGCACUCCCGCAGGAGCUGGUCCUGGAAGUGGGGCUGGGCAGCCCCGGGCGGAGUCGGGGGUGGCCCCGAGGGAGCCGCAGGAUGGGGUGGCUGCCAUGCUUUUGCUUGUGGGCUGGUGGAAAGCUUGGCGGCCACCCCUCAUGGGUCUUGGCGCACAAUCACAGGUGGUGGGGACGGGGACGCUAGACCACGGAGCCCAUUUGCAGAGGUGACCGUGAGCGACAGCUCCAUGACCUAGAUGCGUGGGGCCUACUUAUAUUCUUAAAUUAUUAUUUUUCAGCC